rnacentral:rRNA from 1 species
GCGACCCCAGGUCAGGCGGGGCUACCCGCUGAGUUUAAGC